UGCCAGCAGCCGCGGUAAUACGGAGGGUGCAAGCGUUGUUCGGAUUGACUGGGCGUAAAGAGCACGUAGGCGGGUCUUUAAGUUGGAUGUGAAAUCCCUGAGCUUAACUUGGGAAUGGCAUCCAAAACUGGAGAUCUUGAAUACCUAAGGGGUUGGCAGAAUUCCAGGUGUAGGAGUGAAAUCCGUAGAUAUCUGGAGGAACACCGGCGGCGAAGGCGGCCAACUGGUGGUGUAUUGACGCUGAGGUGCGAAAGCGUGGGUAGCAAACAGGAUUAGAUA
rnacentral:rRNA from 1 species